rnacentral:rRNA from 1 species
AUGGCUCACCAAGGCCAAGAUGCCUAGCAGGUGUGAGAGCACGACCUGCGCCACUGGCACUGGGACACUGGCCAGACUCCUACGGGAGGCUGCAGUCGAGGAUCUUCGGCAAUGGGCGAAAGCCUGACCGAGCGAUGCCGCGUGUGCGAUGAAGGCCUUCGGGUUGUAAAGCACUGUCGUGGGGGAGAAAAUCCGCAAGGAUUGAUCGACCCCAGGAGGAAGCUCGGGCUAAGUUCGUGCCAGCAGCCGCGGUAAGACGAACCGAGCGAACGUUAUUCGGAAUCACUGGGCUUAAAGGGCGCGUAGGCGGGCGAUCAAGUCAGGGGUGAAAGCCUCCAGCUCAACUGGAGAAGUGCCUUUGAUACUGGUCGUCUCGAGGGAGAUAGGGGCGUGCGGAACUUCCGGUGGAGCGGUGAAAUGCGUAGAUAUCGGAAGGAACACCGGUGGCGAAAGCGGCGCGCUGGAUCUCUUCUGACGCUGAGGCGCGAAAGCCAGGGGAGCGAACGGGAUUAGAUACCCCGGUAGUCCUGGCCCUAAACGUUGGGUACUAGGUUGUGGGCUUACGUGGGCUCACAGCCGAAGCAAAAGUGUUAAGUACCCCGCCUGGGGAGUAUGGUCGCAAGGCUGAAACUCAAAGAAAUUGACGGGGGCUCACACAAGCGGUGGAGCAUGUGGCUUAAUUCGAGACUACGCGAAGAACCUUAUCCUGGGCUUGACAUGUGCGAAAGCGGUAGGUAGUAGCCGGCGGAAACGUUCGGCGAACUCGCAAGAGGAGCCUACUACAGGUGCUGCAUGGCUGUCGUCAGCUCGUGUCGUGAGAUGUCGCGUUAAGUCGCAUAACGAGCGCAACCCCUGUCUCCAGUUGCCAGCGAGUCAUGUCGGGGACUCUGGAGAGACUGCCGGUGUUAAACCGGAGGAAGGUGGGGAUGACGUCAAGUCCUCAUGGCCUUUAUGCCCAGGGCUGCACACGUGCUACAAUGGCAUACACAAAGGGAUGCGAGCUCGCGAGAGUGAGCAAAUCCCAAAAAAUACGCCCCAGUUCAGAUCGAAGGCUGCAACUCGCCUUCGUGAAGUUGGAAUCGCUAGUAAUCGCGGGUCAGCAACACCGCGGUGAAUGUGUUCCUGAGCCUUGUACACACCGCCCGUCAAGCCACGAAAGGGAGGGAGGGGCCAAGUUGCCGUGCCAACCCGCAAGGGAAGCAAGCACCUAACCCUUAAUUCCUGAUUGGGACUAA